UUUCCGUAGGUGAACCUGCGGAAGGAUCAUUAUUGUAUAACCGAGGUGCGAGGGCUGUCGCUGACCCGAAAGGUCGUGCACGCCCGAGUGCCCUCACACACAUCCAUCUCACCCCUAUGUGCACCACCGCGUGGGUCCCCCUUUGGCUUGUUCGGAGGGGGGCUUACGCUUUCACACAAACUUUGUAUGCAGUGUAGAAUGUAUUUUUUGUUUUUGCGAUCACGCAAUCAAUACAACUUUUAACAACGGAUCUCUUGGCUCUC
rnacentral:misc_RNA from 1 species